rnacentral:misc_RNA from 1 species
GAGUUUACAACUCCCAAACCCCUGUGAACAUACCUUAAUGUUGCCUCGGCGGAUCAGCCCGCGCCCCGUAAAACGGGACGGCCCGCCAGAGGACCCAAACUCUAAUGUUUCUUAUUGUAACUUCUGAGUAAAACAAACAAAUAAAUCAAAACUUUCAACAACGGAUCUCUUGGUUCU